rnacentral:rRNA from 3 species
UAGGGAAUCUUCCGCAAUGGACGAAAGUCUGACGGAGCAACGCCGCGUGAACGAAGAAGGCCUUCGGGUCGUAAAGUUCUGUUGUUAGGGAAGAACAAGUACCAGAGUAACUGCUGGUACCUUGACGGUACCUAACCAGAAAGCCACGGCUAACUACGUGCCAGCAGCCGCGGUAAUACGUAGGUGGCAAGCGUUGUCCGGAAUUAUUGGGCGUAAAGCGCGCGCAGGUGGUUCCUUAAGUCUGAUGUGAAAGCCCACGGCUCAACCGUGGAGGGUCAUUGGAAACUGGGGAACUUGAGUGCAGAAGAGGAAAGUGGAAUUCCAAGUGUAGCGGUGAAAUGCGUAGAGAUUUGGAGGAACACCAGUGGCGAAGGCGACUUUCUGGUCUGUAACUGACACUGAGGCGCGAAAGCGUGGGGAGCAAACA